rnacentral:rRNA from 1 species
UACAGAGGGUGCGAGCGUUAAUCGGAAUUACUGGGCGUAAAGCGCGCGUAGGCGGCUUUGCAAGUCGGGUGUGAAAUCCCCAGGCUUAACCUGGGAACUGCAUUCGAGACUGCAUUGCUAGAGUAUGGGAGAGGGAAGUGGAAUUUCCGGUGUAGCGGUGAAAUGCGUAGAUAUCGGGAGGAACAUCAGUGGCGAAGGCGGCAUCCUGGACCGGCAUUGACGCUGAGGAGCGAAAGCCAGGGGAGCAAACGGG